UGGGGAAUAUUGCACAAUGGGCGCAAGCCUGAUGCAGCCAUGCCGCGUGUGUGAAGAAGGCCUUCGGGUUGUAAAGCACUUUCAGCGGGGAGGAAGGCGGUGAGGUUAAUAACCUCAUCGAUUGACGUUACCCGCAGAAGAAGCACCGGCUAACUCCGUGCCAGCAGCCGCGGUAAUACGGAGGGUGCAAGCGUUAAUCGGAAUUACUGGGCGUAAAGCGCACGCAGGCGGUCUGUCAAGUCGGAUGUGAAAUCCCCGGGCUCAACCUGGGAACUGCAUUCGAAACUGGCAAGCUUGAGUCUCGUAGAGGGGGGUAGAAUUCCAGGUGUAGCGGUGAAAUGCGUAGAGAUCUGGAGGAAUACCGGUGGCGAAGGCGGCCCCCUGGACGAAGACUGACGCUCAGGUGCGAAAGCGUGGGGAGCAAACAGG
rnacentral:rRNA from 1 species